GACGUAGGGUGCGAGCGUUUGUCCGGAUUUAUUGGGCGUAAAGAGCGUGUAGGCGGCCAGGUAGGUCGGUUGUGAAAACUGGAGGCUCAACCUUCAGAGGUCGACCGAAACCAUCUGGCUAGAGUCCGGGAGAGGAGAGUGGAAUUCCUGGUGUAGCGGUGAAAUGCGCAGAUAUCAGGAAGAACACCCGUGGCGAAAGCGGCUCUCUGGAACGGUACUGACGCUGAGACGCGAAAGCGUGGGGAGCGAACAGG
rnacentral:rRNA from 1 species